AUUUGCUUAUCUUUCUUUUCUUUGAAUCUUCAUUCUUCGUUGAUCGAUUGUCAAAGUCUGCAAAACUUGUAGUCAACGUAAACAUAAAUCGCAGACAUUUUUAACAAAAAAAAGUUUCGGAAAUGAUUAGUCAGCAUUAUUAGUAGAGAAAGAUAAAGUGAAAGUGUUCGAUAUAUUAAGACAAUUUAUAUUAUUGCGGGCUAAUGCCAGAAAGUUACAUUCCUACCAAACAAUGGAUAGCAACAGGAAUCAUGCAUUUUCCGAGAAGCUGAAGGAACAAGUGAAUGCCUCAUUUGAUCGGAUUCGGAAGGCACUGGAUCUGCGCGAAAAGUUGCUAUUACGUCAACUUUCGGUAGUAGUGCAACAAUCUCAUCACGUCACAUUCCAGUUCGAUAACAUAAAAUUUGUGGACGGUGGUGGGGAGGAGGACCUCGUUAGCCGGAUCAGGACCUACGGAAGGUAUAAUAUAGAUAAUUUCAACAUAAUUCUAAAAGAUCCGUACGAGAAUGAAGACUAUAUCCAGCCGGUGGACGACCACGAUUUGAUGCACAAGAGCUGCAGAAGGGGAGUCGGAGAAGAAGAACAUAAUCCGGAAAGCGAGGAAAUCGUGGUGGAAUUCUUCAACAACAAGAGUCUGAUUAAGGAAGGGGCGGAAAUGGUUCGGGAAUCGAUUAUCAAUCUUGCUUUGAAUGAAAGCAAGGAAUUGAUCGACCGAACGUUUGGUGGCGUGAGUAUGGGGCUGGAGUUAGACGAGGAACUAGAGCAGAUGAAAAUCGAUUUAACAAACUGUCGUAACCGGGAAAGAAGAACUGUCGAUGAUUCACUUUCAUUGCAAGGUGAAGGUGCACCUGUUGAUAUUAGUAACAAUAACGUUACUAGCACAAAUCAAGAUGACGACAAGGGAAUUGAACAAGCGAAAGUCGCUAGAUCUCAGCACAUGAUCACGAAGGCAUCGCAGACUGAGUUAGAUAAAAUCGGUAGGCAUAGCAUUACGUCAAAUAGCCAGGUGGAUAGUAGUGUAACGGAUAAAUCAACAAAAAUGGACCGAAAUAUGAAAAAUGUGUCCACUCUAACGAUGAACAACUGUGGCGGCACAAUCAAUCUUAAAAAUGUAACAAAUUUAACUAUCAAUACAUGUUCCGAUACGCCGGGGAAACAAGUCGAACAAUCGGUUGCCCCACCCUGCCCUUCAGAAGAAGGUAGUCCAGAAUGCGGUUUCUAUAAACGUCUCAUCACGGAGAACAAAAUUUUGCGCCAGCACAUCUUGAAAACCACUCUUUCCAAUGUAACACCCCAGGCACCAAUCUCGCAGACUUCUAGUGGUUCCGAUUCUCCGUCGAUUAACACAGAACCAUCUCCGAUGGACAACUUAUCAACCAGCAGCGGUAGCGCAUCCAACUGUAACAAACCCAAACGUCUGGCGCUGACGGCAGCCGAGCUGCGGGCCGUGCUGAACCUACCCCAACAGGAUAGCAGUCUCACCCAUGUCCUGGGAGACCUGUUCGCACUGGCAUCGCCGACAACUGUCGCAGGAAAGGCAACGGCAGCUGAGUCCGGCACUCAGAGUCAAGAGCACACAAUGCAGAUCCAACAGUGGCUGAAGCAAAUCAUAUCGGAAACGGAGACGGAACCGGUGCAGAACGCCGAGAUGAUGGAAUUCAGUCACAUCAACAACUAACGGGAUGGUGAUUCGAAUGGAUGCCGUGAGUAAGUAAGGAUACAUGAAUCCACGAAACAAGUUCAUGCUGGAAUAUGGCGACAUUUCGCAAGGUAGAGCUGAAAGUGACUUGUAUGAUGGUUCAUUGCUUCGUAGAAUAAUGUGUUUUUAUUAAUAGACGGAUUAGUCAGAGUACAGGAGAUGGAAGCGAUUUUAAUAUUUAAGUUCCUAUUCAGAUACUAUAUUGUUAAAAAUUGAUGCUAUGAGCGUUUAAUUUUUAGUGCCCGUAGUGAUCGAGGGCGCAGCAGUAGUUCAUCGCUUUACCACAUAACAUAAAGGCAUCUUUGCCGAGGAAUGUGGUCGUUCCAUGAUUUUGAAACGCUAGCGAACCCAGCGGUGGGAGUCAAGCUUUACUGAACCAAGCGCAUAGAGCAGCAAUACAUGCUUUGCUGUUUCUUGAUUUCGCCUUGGAUGUAAACGAGUGCCGUUUGUUUAUGCACAACGAGUCUACUUUGAAACUAGCAGUUUGUUCUAUGAUGCCUAUCUGUUUUGUGCUUGGGGUCUCAAGUAGCCUUGCGACCAAAGGCGUAGGAUUGCCAAUCCGUAGGAUGUUCUCAGGUUGGAAACUUUUUCAAAACCCUGUGCAUAGGUUACCUAUUGUGCUUGCUACACCAUAUACAUACUCAAGCAAUGGCGGACACAGAAAAGCUUCCAAUUAAUAACUGAGGAAAUGCUUCUUCUAUCGUUCAUGUUUACUUUGCUGAUCAAAAUCCUAACUUUUGCAAAAUUGUAAAAGAUUGAUACUACUGAAACAGGAAUUUGAAUUGCUUAGCAUCAAGCAUAAAUAAUCUCGUAAAUAAGAAUGCUGUGCACCUCGUAUUAAAAAUAAGAUUAUUGUAGUUCAUCAGAUAUAUUUCACGUGUAACAAAUAAAAUAACUUUCACUGUAACUAGUUUAACCAAAAAGCUGCGACAAUACCAGCAAAGAUCACUUAUUUUUUGUUACUAAUAUAAUCAAUAUAAGAAGCUCUAAUUCUCUACAAAUGCUUCAAGUGAUGGUCACAAAGAUUAAGCAUCACCAUUUAUCAAUACUUAAAGUAUGUAAAUCCUUCCCGAAUAAGUCCUUCCAUAAAAGAGAUUGAAGACGAACAAUCAAGAUUUAUUUCUAUUAUUUAGAAUCGUUACUUUACGACAGUUUCACAUAUCCACGAAAACUGGUAUUAAAUCAAACAUUCUUUCUGUCUAUUUAGAUAACGGUAAUAAAAAAGAAAAUUCCAAAUACUCGACAAAUGUUGAAUAAAAUGCCAUUGUUUUAGUAAUACGUAUGUAAAUGGUAAUGAUUUUGAUGCGGUCAAAACGUGCCGAAGAGAUUUAAAUUUUGCGAUUUAAUAAAUAUAAUAAUCACGUAUAGAUAAUCCUAGCUAUAGAUUUAUCAUCAUCCACGAACAGCUUAGAAGCUGGCUGCUAUUCAAACUGAUUAUUUAUCGCAUUUUAAGAUAUCAACGAAUGUUGAUCCCAAUAUUGGUUUCAGCAGGAAUAGAGCACAAGUAAAAUAAAUAAUAAAUGUAAAUCAUUUGAUUAAUA